rnacentral:rRNA from 1 species
UGACAAAGCCAUAUCUCCCUGCAGUUCUCACCUGGUUUCCCUGGGAAGUUAAGCAGGGUUGAGCCUGGUCAAUACCUGGAUAGGAGACCUCCUGGGGAAAACUAAGGUUACUGAUGG